rnacentral:rRNA from 14 species
AUUUAUUGGGCGUAAAGCGCUCGCAGGUGGUUCGUCGCGUCGUGCGUGAAAGACCCCGGCUCAACUGGGGAGUGUCGUGCGAUACGGGCGGACUGGAGGCCAGUAGGGGGAUGCGGAAUUCCGGGUGUAGUGGUGGAAUGCGUAGAGAUCCGGAGGAACACCAGCGGCGAAGGCGGCAUCCUGGACUGGUCCUGACACUCAUGAGCGAAAGCGUGGGGAGC